ACUCCUGCGGGAGGCAGCAGUGGGGAAUUUUGGACAAUGGGCGAAAGCCUGAUCCAGCAAUGCCGCGUGAGUGAAGAAGGCCUUCGGGUUGUAAAGCUCUUUUGUCAGGGAAGAAACGGUGAAAGCUAAUAUCUUUUGCUAAUGACGGUACCUGAAGAAUAAGCACCGGCUAACUACGUGCCAGCAGCCGCGGUAAUACGUAGGGUGCAAGCGUUAAUCGGAAUUACUGGGCGUAAAGCGUGCGCAGGCGGUUUUGUAAGUCUGAUGUGAAAUCCCCGGGCUCAACCUGGGAAUUGCAUUGGAGACUGCAAGGCUAGAAUCUGGCAGAGGGGUGUAGAAUUCCACGUGUAGCAGUGAAAUGCGUAGAUAUGUGGAGGAACACCGAUGGCGAAGGCAGCCCCCUGGGUCAAGAUUGACGCUCAUGCACGAAAGCGUGGGGAGCAAACAGGAUUAGAUACCCUUGUAGUCCCAUGA
rnacentral:rRNA from 1 species